AAGUAAUACAGGCUGAAUGCAUCUAGCAGUGAACGGAGAAGCGGAACGUGGAACACCCACCCGGCGGGCUCCGCUGUAAGAGCAGCACGGUCCUGUCACGCGCUGCACAGGGAGGAGAAGCAUGACCAUCAAGGACGGCCGUCCGCAGGCUAUCACGAUGAGAUGCUGGCGUCGCCAUUCCUGACCGGGAUGCGGUCCCACAGCUUCCUGUCUUUCUGGGGACCAGUGUUUGUCAUAGACCCUGCUGCCUACCAGGAUAGCAGGGCAGUUCCCCGGAUCGCCUCCCUGCGUAGAGGCCACACCGCCACGGAGCGUGGUCACGUGGUUCACGCAGGCUGACCUGCGAAGGCAGAACCGGAAACUCACUUUCCCUUUUUAAUGGUGUUCCUGCCGAGCAGCGGGUCCAACACAGGGUCCACGGUUUCCCCAAUGUUCUCGAUGAGCAAGAUGUCCCCUUCAGAAAUGGCCUGCUCGAUGAUGUCCAGGUAGCUGUGGGCAGACGUGGGGCUGGGUGAGGACAUGGGCCCAGAGACGGCCCCGCUGGGAGCCCCAGGAGGCAGCCCUUGGAGCGAGAAGACACUGGAAGGCAAGUGGCCGAGGGGCCGGCUGUUCCGCCCUGGGGGCUCACAGGAGCGAAGCCCCAGCUGUUUUCACACCUGCGUCUGGUCCCAGGUCCCCCAUCCGCCAGAAAGGCACAUGGCGUGACCUUAGUGACCACCUGUGAUGAGGAAAUGCGUCCCACCGGAGACGAGAAAUGAGAAAACAGCCUGCCUGAAGCCUUGUGGCCGGCAGGUGGCUGGGUGGGCCUGGAGCCUGGACCAGAUAGUGGAGAACCUGUGCACGGGCCAGGAUCUGUGCGUAACGAUCCCCCCGCCAUCCAACCCCUCCGGUGUGUGCACAAGCCCGCGAGCCCCCAGCCCACCCGCGCUGGCCGCCGGCCCGCACCUCUUCUGGCCCAGGCGGAUGGCCCUCAGCUCGCUGCCAUACU